ACCUGAAAAAAAGAGCACAGAGUGAAAAACACUUAAGAUAUUCACUUGUUUUCUUCGUGUGUUCAUACACGCCUGCAUCUUAAUAUAGCUUUCUGAUUAUGGUUAAAUUAAAUAAUUGCGCAGUCGUUUUUGUUCAAAAACUAGCAGUAUUUCUUUCGACGUUACUCACCUCAGAACAAAUCCAGGAAUGAACUGGAAGGGGAGGGCCUUGGUAUUUAUACCCUGUGACGUUUUUGACGUCAUACGCGUCUUCCAGCAUGCAUUUUCUGGGUUUUUCAUGGUAACAACAUUGAGUUUUUGGUGACGCGCGGUUGUAGAACACCUUCAUUAAUUAAAGAGUGUUCUAUCUGUGCCUUCAUUGUCCAUUAGGACAGGAAGAUAACGCUGCACGUUUUGUACAUUCUCUUUUCAAUUUACCUCACAUCCCAAGUCUUUUGUUGCUUAUCUAAACAAAGUUGAAUGAGUAUCAGUGCUAACUCACAAAAUAUGGUGCUUGCAUUGAGUUAUAACAUCACAUUUGGGAAUAAUUAUGAUUAUAAUAUUUCUACAAAAUGGCUGCGAUGCAAAUCGGGUAGCCUGCCACACCAGCGGACACAAUCAAAACCUUGCGUUUAAUUUAAAAUAAUACAAUUAAUAAAUAACAAAUUCAUAAAAUACAUUAAUUGAAGUCCAAAAGGAGAGUCUUUGGCCAUGCACAACAAUACAUAAUGUGCUACUUGUUCUUUCACCUGUAACCUUUCAACCCUCAGUUGUGAAAGGCAAAAUGGCAGCGUCCAUACCAGGCAUUUGAAGGAUUUUAUGCCGUGUCUAUCCUUUACUUUUACGUACUUUUCGGCAGAAUAAGCUUCCAAAGAGGUUACCUGUCAGGCGUUGGACCCAGGCUGUGUUUCCAAGUGUGAAGUCCAGCCUCUCUCUGUGCACUGCAGCCUAACCUGAAAUCUCCAGUGAUGCUGCUGUGACAUUGGAGACUUUUUAACUGUUACAAGGACAGAACAUGGGGCUACCUGGAGAGCGAAGAGUAAAUAGAGCACUAUGGAACCAGUCCAGUGUGGUCUAACUACAGGAGGAACCAGAAAGGAGGGAUUCCCCCUCAGAAGACACGCAAUACCUGCAUUAGGAGACACGAUAUGUGGGAACCCUUGUCCAAUUUGUUGAGACACCAUCAUCCACUAUCAGAAUGUGAAGCUGCUGCAACAUUUUAGAAGCCCAUAUACAGGCGUUGUGUAUGACCCCACGCGGACAGGGCUGCUACCCUUCCAGGUUCCUCAUGUGGACUUCUCAGGGGAGGACUAUUCCAACUCCCAUGACGCAGUUGGCUCGGCCCCUCUUCCCCCCACCAUGACCCCUUGGUACAGGUGGUACCACACCAUACAGCCAGACGAGACUGAAGUGGCUCAAGUCAAGAAGACCAACGAGGCCCAUUUGACAGAGGAAUCAUGGUGAAAUUCUUUUUUGUGAUAUAAUUUGGGCUUUCUGGAAGUAGUAGAGCAAGUUUUAAAGAUGCACUAUGCAGAAAUCACUCCACCAUUUCCUUGUUGCUAAAAUUCUAAUAGUUUGUCUAAUUUCAGUUUGUGACAAAACAAGCAAGUAUAGUGUAAAGAAUCAUUAUACCAUCUAAACCGCAGUGUGAAAUCUUUUCCAUUACCAAAAAUAUUGUAUUUUCAGAUGGUGUACAAAAACAAGAUGCUAAAAGUAAACUUAAGCAUAGAAAUUGCGCUCAGAACAUAUUACUGCUUCUUGGACUUGCUUUCAACGAGUGACAGAUCUACAACUCAUAUUUCUGUGAAUUUGGUCGGGUCGCACUAAAAGUUAUAGAAUAUUGUUUAUGGCAAUAUUGGUUUUGGGAGUUUUGCUAAAACAUGUCACAGAUCACUGAUUCAUUCCAGACACUUUUCACGGGCUACAACUAAAAAUCAAAUUGUAUUUGUCACAUACUUUGUAAACAACCAGUGUAGACUAACAGUGAAAUGCUUACAUCUACUUUGUGCAUGACACAAGUCAUUUUUCCA